GGUUUUCAAUCCAAGGUCUAUGGGACCUUGCAGCUGGUUGCAGGUGGAUUCUAUAUAUUUGGGGUGAUUACAUGCACUUAAUUCCACCAUGGAAUUAAAUUGAUGAGAAUUCUUUCUUUCUAUCUAUAUCCAGCAAACAAAAUUAAACAAGCUAUACAUCGAUCAGAUGUUCAUCAGCCGGGUGAGUGAUUUCCUUGCUAUGCUUGGUCAAGUGAGCAGUCUUUUGCGAAUUAGCCUUCGUUUCGUUGUCUGUUCGACCUUGAUCAAACAUAUAUGUUCAGGAAUAUAUCAAAAACCCUCAUUUAGAUGUGUUUAGCACCAACAGGAUAACGAUAUACAUAAUAAAAUAACCUAGAUUUAGCGUCUUCUAUGUUAUGAAAUAGGAUCUAAAAAUACCCUUUGUUUUGGCCCCUCCUCCAUUGAUGCCACGGGUGCAACAUAACCAAUUAGCUAGAUUUAUGCUCAUGCACCCAUUUGUCUUAUGAGGAAUUACUUUGGUUAGCU
rnacentral:misc_RNA from 1 species